rnacentral:misc_RNA from 1 species
GAUGAAGAACGUAGUGAAAUGCGAUAAGUAAUGCGAAUUGCAGAAUUCCAGUGAGUCAUCGAAUCUUUGAACGCACAUUGCGCCCUUUGGUAUUCCGAAGGGCAUGCCUGUUCGAGCGUCAUUAUCACCCCUCAAGCCCCGUGCUUGGUGUUGGACGGCCGGUCGAGCGAUCGACCCCUCCUAAAGUCAAUGACGGCGGCCUGUGGUUCCCCCGGUACACUGAGCUUUUAACUGAGCACGUAUCGGACAAGGGCACCCGGGACCCGGUCCUCUCCUUUAACUAGGAAACUUCUAAGGUUGACCUCGGAUCAGGUAGGAAUACGCGCUGAACUUGAGCAUAUCAAUAAGCGGAGGA